rnacentral:rRNA from 1 species
GACGAACGCUGGCGGCGUGCUUAACACAUGCAAGUCGAGUGGUAAGGCCCUUUCGGGGGUACACGAGCGGCGAACGGGUGAGUAACACGUGGGUGACCUGCCCUCAGCUCUGGGAUAAGCCUGGGAAACCGGGUCUAAUACUGGAUAUGACUCCAUGACGCAUGUUGUGGGGUGGAAAGCCUUGUGCGGCUGAGGAUGGGCCCGCGGCCUAUCAGCUUGUUGGUGGGGUGANGGCCUACCAAGGCGACGACGGGUAGCCGGCCUGAGAGGGCGACCGGCCACACUGGGACUGAGACACGGCCCAGACUCCUACGGGAGGCAGCAGUGGGGAAUCUUGCGCAAUGGGCGAAAGCCUGACGCAGCGACGCCGCGUGAGGGAUGACGGCCU